rnacentral:pre_miRNA from 1 species
UUUAAGCAUAGCCAUAAGUUUCCAUGUCAACUUUGAUCGUCUAUUUUAUUUAAAAUUUUUUUAUGAUUAAUAUUUUGUUUGCUAUAAGAUAAUAAAACAUGAAUAAUACUUUGUGCGUGACUUAUGUU